ensembl:lncRNA
GAACAUUUCUAUCUUUUCAUUCUUCAGUUGGAGGUGAGGGAGGGUUGGGAAGCCACUGUGUCCACCUUCAUUGUCCCUUCAGGGAGCCCAGCAGGAGGCUCUGCUCUCCAGAGUCAGCAGAAAUGGCAUGCAUCUGCAACACUGAGCCAGGAGAUGGAGACACUAAUUCAGUGUGCUAGCUAGCUGGUGGCCUUAGGUGGCUCCUGUUGUGCUGAGACAGAGCAGAAACAGAUGCCGAUUAAGGUCCUUGCAGGUGUGCAUCUCCAGAAACUGACCUUCCUUCCAUCCACUCUUUGGGGCUUUGGUAAUUGAGUUUGCAGAAACAAAUCAACGAUUGGCAGAAAUAAAGGAACAGAAUUACUAAUGUGCAAGUAGACAGCUGUCACGCUGAGCAUGAAACUCAGAGACGAGCCCUGACGAUUGUGGCUUAAGGAUUCUUUAUGAGGAG